rnacentral:rRNA from 1 species
UGAGUAACCUGCCCUUAACUCUGGGAUAAGCCUGGGAAACUGGGUCUAAUACCGGAUAUGACUCCUCAUCGCAUGGGUGGGGGGUGGAAAGCUUUUUGUGGUUUUGGAUGGACUCGCGGCCUAUCAGCUUGUUGGUGAGGUAAUGGCUCACCAAGGCGACGACGGGUANCUGGUCUGAGAGGAUGGCCAGCCACAUUGGGACUGAGAUACCGGCCCAGACCUCCGUACGGGAGGNAG